rnacentral:rRNA from 1 species
CUGUGAUCCAGAGAUUUCCGAAUGGGGGAACCCAGCACGAGUUAUGUCGUGUUAUCCGCAUGUGAAUACAUAGCAUGUGAGAAGGUAGACCCGGAGAACUGAAACAUCUUAGUACCCGGAGGAAGAGAAAGAAAAAUCGAUUCCCUGAGUAGCGGCGAGCGAAACGGGAAGAGCCCAAACCAACAAGCUUGCUUGUUGGGGUUGUAGGACACUCUGUACGGAGUUACAAAGGAACAUGUUAGACGAAUAACCUGGAAAGGUUAAUCAGAGAAGGUAAAAAUCCUGUAGUCGAAAACAUCUUCCCUCCUGAGUGGAUCCUGAGUACGGCGGAGCACGUGAAAUUCCGUCGGAAUCUGGGAGGACCAUCUCCCAAGGCUAAAUACUCUCUAGUGACCGAUAGUGAACCAGUACCGUGAGGGAAAGGUGAAAAGUACCCCGGAAGGGGAGUGAAAGAGAACUUGAAACCGUGUGCUUACAAGUAGUCAGAGCCCGUUAAUGGGUGAUGGCGUGCCUUUUGUAGAAUGAACCGGCGAGUUACGAUCUGAUGCAAGGUUAAGCAGAAAAUGUGGAGCCGUAGCGAAAGCGAGUCUGAAUAGGGCGAAUGAGUAUUUGGUCGUAGACCCGAAACCAGGUGAUCUACCCUUGGUCAGGUUGAAGUUCAGGUAACACUGAAUGGAGGACCGAACCGACUUACGUUGAAAAGUGAGCGGAUGAACUGAGGGUAGCGGAGAAAUUCCAAUCGAACUUGGAGAUAGCUGGUUCUCUCCGAAAUAGCUUUAGGGCUAGCCUCAAGUGAUGAUUAUUGGAGGUAGAGCACUGUUUGGACGAGGGGCCCCUCUCGGGUUACCGAAUUCAGACAAACUCCGAAUGCCAAAUAAUUUAACUUGGGAGUCAGAACAUGGGUGAUAAGGUCCGUGUUCGAAAGGGAAACAGCCCAGACCACCAGCUAAGGUCCCAAAAUAUAUGUUAAGUGGAAAAGGAUGUGGCGUUGCCCAGACAACUAGGAUGUUGGCUUAGAAGCAGCCAUCAUUUAAAGAGUGCGUAAUAGCUCACUAGUCGAGUGACACUGCGCCGAAAAUGUACCGGGGCUAAACAUAUUACCGAAGCUGUGGAUUGUCCUUUAGGACAAUGGUAGGAGAGCGUUCUAAGGGCGUUGAAGCAUGAUCGCAAGGACAUGUGGAGCGCUUAGAAGUGAGAAUGCCGGUGUGAGUAGCGAAAGACGGGUGAGAAUCCCGUCCACCGAUUGACUAAGGUUUCCAGAGGAAGGCUCGUCCGCUCUGGGUUAGUCGGGUCCUAAGCUGAGGCCGACAGGCGUAGGCGAUGGAUAACAGGUUGAUAUUCCUGUACCACCAUGAUUCGUUUUAAGCGAUGGGGGGACGCAGUAGGAUAGGCGAAGCGUGCUGUUGGAGUGCACGUCCAAGCAGUAAGACUGAGUGUUAGGCAAAUCCGGCACUCAUUAAGGUCAAGCUGUGAUGGGGAGAGGAAACAUGUUUUCCUCGAGUCGUUGAUUUCACACUGCCGAGAAAAGCCUCUAGCUAGAAGAUUGGUGCCCGUACCGCAAACCGACACAGGUAGUCAAGAUGAGAAUUCUAAGGUGAGCGAG